rnacentral:hammerhead_ribozyme from 1 species
ACCUAACUGACGAGUCCCAAAUAGGAUGAAGCGCCCGUCCAGGGU